UACGUAGGCAGCAAACGUUGUUCGGAAUUACUGGGCGUAAAGCGUGCGCAGGCGGUUUUGUAAGUUUGUCGUGAAAUCCCCGGGCUCAACCUGGGAAUGGCGAUGAAGACUGCAAGGCUAGAAUCUGGCAGAGGGGGGUAGAAUUCCACGUGUAGCAGUGAAAUGCGUAGAGAUGUGGAGGAACACCGAUGGCGAAGGCAGCCCCCUGGGUCAAGAUUGACGCUCAUGCACGAAAGCGUGGGGAGCAAACAGG
rnacentral:rRNA from 1 species